GACAGAGGGUGCAAACGUUGUUCGGAAUUACUGGGCGUAAAGGGCGCGUAGGCGGCUUGGUAAGUCGGGGGUGAAAGUCAGCGGCUCAACCGCUGGACUGCCUUCGAGACUGCCUGGCUUGAGCAUGGUAGAGGCUGGCGGAAUUCCCGGUGUAGCGGUGGAAUGCGUAGAGAUCGGGAAGAACAUCGGUGGCGAAGGCGGCCAGCUGGGCCAUUGCUGACGCUGAUGCGCGACAGCGUGGGGAGCAAACAGGAGUUAGAA
rnacentral:rRNA from 1 species